rnacentral:rRNA from 1 species
CAGCCGCCGCGGGAAUACGUAGGUGGCAAGCGUUGUCCGGAAUUAUUGGGCGUAAAGGGCUCGCAGGCGGUUUCUUAAGUCUGAUGUGAAAGCCCCCGGCUCAACCGGGGAGGGUCAUUGGAAACUGGGAAACUUGAGUGCAGAAGAGGAGAGUGGAAUUCCACGUGUAGCGGUGAAAUGCGUAGAGAUGUGGAGGAACACCAGUGGCGAAGGCGACUCUCUGGUCUGUAACUGACGCUGAGGUGCGAAAGCGUGGGGAGCAAACAGGAUUAGAUACCCGUGUAGUCCCUGUCUCUUAUAC